UAACUAACGGGAAGAUGAUGACCCAUGCCCUGAGAUGGGCUCCAUGGGGCAUGGUGAGUUGGAGGAGCAACCGGCCCGUGGCGG
rnacentral:ncRNA from 15 species